GGGCUCCGGCAAGGGGCUGCUGCGCGCGCUGCAGGCGCGCGACCGGGCGCUCGGCGACGACCUCGGCGCUCGGCUCACCCAGGGCCUC
rnacentral:tRNA from 1 species